rnacentral:rRNA from 1 species
UACAGAGGUCCCAAGCGUUGUUCGGAUUCACUGGGCGUAAAGGGUGCGCAGGUGGGUUGGCAAGUUCGAUGUGAAAGCCCCGGGCUUAACCCGGGAAUGGCAUUGGAUACUGCUGAUCUGGAGGAUCGGAGGGGGGACUGGAAUUCUUGGUGUAGCAGUGAAAUGCGUAGAGAUCAUGAGGAAGACCAGUGGCGAAGGCGGGUCUCUGGACAGUUCCUGACACUGAGACACGAAGGCCAGGGGAGCAAACGGG